rnacentral:rRNA from 1 species
AACGCGAAGAACCUUACCUGGGCUCGAAAUGUUAUGGACAGUCUGUGAAAGCAGAUCUUCCCGCAAGGGACAGUAGUAGAGGUGCUGCAUGGCUGUCGUCAGCUCGUGCCGUGAGGUGUUGGGUUAAGUCCCGCAACGAGCGCAACCCUUAUUCGUAGUUGCCACCCGCAAGGGGGAACUCUACGAGGACUGCUCCGGAUAACGGAGAGGAAGGUGGGGAUGACGUCAAGUCAGCACGGCCUUUAUGUCCAGGGCUACACACGUGUUACAAUGCGCGGCACAGACUGUUGCGAACCCGCGAGGGGGAGCUAAUCGGAAAAAACCGCGCUCAGUUCGGAUUGCAGUCUGCAACUCGACUGCAUGAAGCUGGAAUCGCUAGUAAUGGCGUAUCAGAUCGACGCCGUGAAUACGUUCCCGGGCCUUGUACACACCGGCUAC